rnacentral:rRNA from 1 species
AUUGAACGCUGGCGGCAUGCCUUACACAUGCAAGUCGAACGGUAACGCGGGGCAACCUGGCGACGAGUGGCGAACGGGUGAGUAAUACAUCGGAACGUGCCCAGUAGUGGGGGAUAGCCCGGCGAAAGCCGGAUUAAUACCGCAUACGACCUACGGGUGAAAGCGGGGGACCGCAAGGCCUCACGCUAUUGGAGCGGCCGAUGUCGGAUUAGCUAGUUGGUGGGGUAAAAGCCUACCAAGGCGACGAUCCGUAGCUGGUCUGAGAGGACGACCAGCCACACUGGGACUGAGACACGGCCCAGACUCCUACGGGAGGCAGCAGUGGGGAAUUUUGGACAAUGGGCGAAAGCCUGAUCCAGCCAUGCCGCGUGCGGGAAGAAGGCCUUCGGGUUGUAAACCGCUUUUGUCAGGGAAGAAACGGUCUGGGCUAAUACUCCGGACUAAUGACGGUACCUGAAGAAUAAGCACCGGCUAACUACGUGCCAGCCGCCGCGGUAA